rnacentral:rRNA from 1 species
UACGGAGGGUCCAAGCGUUAUCCGGAAUCAUUGGGUUUAAAGGGUCCGUAGGCGGUUUUGUAAGUCAGUGGUGAAAGCCCAUCGCUCAACGGUGGAACGGCCAUUGAUACUGCAAGACUUGAAUUAUUGGGAAGCAACUAGAAUAUGUAGUGUAGCGGUGAAAUGCUUAGAGAUUACAUGGAAUACCAAUUGCGAAGGCAGGUUGCUACCAAUACAUUGAACGCUGAUGGACGAAAGCGUGGGGAGCGGAACAGG